AUGUAAUCAUCUGUUGUCUCCUUGCCCUUCUGGCACAUUUGAAAUUUGAAAUAAAUACCUAUAUAUGAAUCUUCACCUAAAGAAACUAAACUACUUCAAUCAAGUUCUCUAUGUACUAUCCUAAUCCUAAAUUAACUGCAUGUCUAACUUCACAUGAAAACAACAAUUCGAUACUCUUAUCUUUUCUUGUGCUAAAAUAAUCCACCACAGCAUCCUUGUAGAAAACCUAACACCUUUCUUUCUCUAUAUUUUAUCUCUAACUGCCAACCAUUCUUUUCCAUGAAGUAUACCUCUCCCUUUAACAUAAAAAACAGGGUUACUCAGUUAGGAGUAUAACAGGGUUACUCACAGUUUUCUCUAGGCCUUUGAGGACUAGUAGGUCACAUUGUAUAACACCAUAUUUUUUCGCGCACUUCCUGUUUAAGAAAAGGCCAUUGUGCAUCAGUUAGGAGCAAUUACAAGGAAGAAAAGAUAAAUUGAGCACAUCGAGUCAAUUAAAGAAUGACUCCAUACUUAUUUUCAUAUGACACAGUUCUGAAUGUAUGUACAAAUGCAGGUCGAGGUUCAGAUGGACUAUCAGCUAACUGAUCACAGGCAGGCUGUAUAUAAGCUGUUUGUAACAACAAUUCAAUUAGACGGCUUCCAACCUGCGCGCAAAGUGUAAGGACAGAAAUCAAAUUCGGACACGAUACAUUUGUUCAAGAAAAUUAGCCUUUAUCAAUGAUUACAAGCACACAGCCCUAGCAUCUGCAUUCCAUGGUUUUGAAGCAUCCUUCCCCUUCACAAUCUUCCUCACAGCUGGCAGCUUUUGUUUUUUUAAUCAAAUCAGUAACCUUUUUUCUUAGGUCUUCUUGUUCCUUCAUGACAGCAGGGGAUUCUCCUUCUACACCAUUCUUGCUAUCAUUAGCCUUUUCCUUUUUCUUUCUUGUUUUCUCCUAGAUAUUGUGUAUUCUAAUCUUUUUCAUCACAGAAACUGUUACAAAUUCAGUCCUCAGUUCAAAGAAAGAGAACAAGACUGAAGAGUUAGGAGGUCCAAAAAAUGGAUUAAGAAUGGUACACCUAAAUAUCUCUUCAUUGUAUAGUUCUUUUUUUUUUUUAAAGAAAAAAAGGAAAAGAAAAGAGGAAGCAACUCCCAUAGUCAGAAGCGACAGUAGAGGAAAGUGUCACGCGUGCCUUUGAAGUCUAAACUAAGUAAAAAACUUAAACAAAGGCAGAAACAAGAACACACAUAAUUGAAAUGAUAAAGAUAAUUGCUAUCCCCAACAGGGAAAUGCAAAAGUAUAAAUCCAUAGUGAAACAAUGUCCAAACAUGAGAUGAGCUCUGACAAAGGAAAGUUGAAAUGUCACUCUUAUAGGUCCACCACCAUGUCCAUGCUUUAAAGAAAUUGUAGCUCAAAAGAGAAAGGCGUAAUAGAAUAUUCACCUUAAUAAGGCCCGUGAUAUGAAAAGUUUGAUACAUAAUGACAAAAUUGUAAAAACUUAGUAUCUAAAGGAUCUUACACUAAAUUGUUUUUCCUACCUGCAUAUUUAGUGUCCUCCCUGGAACUAUGAACAACAGAAGAACUUGGACUGAAAGUAAAAACUAAUAAUAUAUAAAAAAGAAAUCCAGAAAAACCCCAUUCAACAUUCGACAAAGCUCCUUAUAUUCUUUCGUUGCCAGUUCCUAUGCUUCCGCCUCAAUCUUCACUUGCCUUCUCCUUAAGACCCUAUGCUUCCUUGACCCUAUUCCAGGUUUAGCAUGUAGCCUCCUCCUCCUAAAGUGCUCUUCUUCUUUCCUCAUUUCUGGCUGUAAUUCUCGCACUUCAUCGGCACCAGACACAUUAUCUUCAACAUCUAUUGAUGACACUGCCUCAGCUACACUCACAUACCCUCUUGGGAAAAAUCCAGCACACCGAUUCCCAUUGGUACUAUCACUAUUUCUCAAAAAAAUAAAACUGGGUUUUCCCAUAAAAUCUUCAUGGGUUGAUAUUUCGCCAAUUGCUCGAAAACUCAGUCGUGGACUUGUGUUAUUAAGCGAAUGGAACUUAAGUUUCUCAAAAAAGAUGGGUUCUUUAGAGGCUCCUUGUCAAUGAGCUGUAUAUUCGUAAUUAGUAUGAGCUAUAUAUAUUCCUAAUUAGUGAGAAUCUAUUAUGUGAUUCUGCAAGAUUAUAGGCUGCAAGAUUAUAGGCUCAUAAAAUAUUCCUAAAUAGUUUCCCAGUCUAUGUAUAUAUAUUCACGUCUGCUGUUAUACAAAAAAUGAAUAAGAGAAUAUUACAAUCACCAAUUCUGAUAUGGUAUCAGAGCAGUCGAUCUUGACUGUCUCUUGCCCUAGUUCCAAAAAUCGCUUCCGCCAUAGCAGCUGUUAGCACCCUUCACAAUAGCAGUGAUUUCGUAGCAGCAACCAUUACUCACCCUUUACAACCACUGUUCAUUGUUCCCUCAACCAAAUUACACUAAACAAAUUACUCUGUUUGUUCUCUCUACUUCUUCCUCUUAUCACUUCUAAGCCAAAAUCAUGGCAGAUGAUGAUGGUUCAGUAAACACCAAUAAAUCCUUCAUGUCAGGAGACUCCAACACUACCACACAAAUAAUCACGUUGCAGAGUGACACAUCUAAUUUCUCUUCAGGAAUCAAACUGGAUGAGAAUAACUAUUCUCUAUGGCAUCAAAUCAUAGAGAUGAAGAUAGCUGGGCGAGAAAAACAUGGUCAUCUGACUGGUGAUAUCACCCAACCUGCAGUUACAAAUCCCACAUUUAAUAAAUGGCGUGCAGCAGAUUGCCAGGUCAAGAGUUGGUUAUUUGACGCCAUGCAACCGAAUCAGAUUAAAAGGUUUAUUCGUUAUGACACAACAAAACAAGUCUGGGAUGCAAUCAAACAGACAUAUUCAGAUGGGGCUGAUGAAGCUAUGAUUUACGACCUUCACAGAAGAUCAUUCAUAAUGAGACAGACGUGUGUUUCAGACUUUCAGUUGCCAAAUAUUACAGUGAGCUCACUGAGAUUUUUCAGGAGCUUGAUCAAUUAAGUCCAAGCACCAUGGAGCAUCCGUCAGACAUUGAAACUCGACGAAAAGAAGUUGAUCAUCUUAGAGUUUAUAUAUUUCUUGCAGGUUUGGACAAUAAUUUUGAUCAAUUCCGAGGAGAGAUUUUGAGGAUGGAGCCAAAGCUAGAACUUGAGGCUGCAUACGCACAUAUUAAACGAGAAAGUAACCAACAAGAAACCAUGUCUGAAGGAGGUGUAACCUCCGAAGCCACAGCUCUUGCCGUUGCCAGGUCUAGACAAUCUCGACUGCACAACUACAAUGCCAACCUUGCUCGUAACAAACCUCCAAUGAAAUGUACCAAAUGUGGUUUAGAUAAUCACACAAUUAAAGGCUGUUAUGAGAUUAUUGGUUAUCCAGAUGGAUGGGUUCACAAAGGGUGCAAAAGGGACUCCAAUUGAGCCUCAUUUGCAUCUGCCCAGUCAUUACAGGAGACUUCAUCAAAAAUCCCAUUAGGUACAACUGACUCCAAGGCCUUUGUUGCUGCAUGUAAUUCUUACACAUCCUCACUUACUGGUAAUAGAUCUUGGAUUAUUGACACUGGUGCAACGGAUCACAUGACAUCUAGUCUUAUUGGGGUACACUUUGUCACACCUUCCAGCCAAACACAUAUUUUCAGUGCCAAUGGCACCACUUACCGAGUUAUAGGAGAAGGGUCUUUAUCUCUUACAUCCUCAUUAAGUCUUGAUCAUGUCUUAGUUGUCCCUUCACUUGACUAUGACUUGCUAUCUGUUCCUCAAAUCAUUGACUCCCUUAAUUGUACUGUGUGUUUUUGGUCAUUGUAUUGUCUAUUUCAGGAUCUUCACACCAGGGUCGUGAUUGGAUAUGGUACUAGGAGAGGAAAACUAUAUUAUCUGGACUUGACAGAUGACACAGUUAAAAGAUUAAGUCAUACACAUAAUAUGAGAGGAGGUGAGUCUAUCAGGAUGAAGAAAAUUUGGCUCUGGCAUAGACGAUUAGGUCAUGCCUCCUUUGGUUAUUUGAAACUUCUAUUUCUAGAGUUGUUUUCUCAUUUUACUAAAUCAGACUUCCAUUGUGAAACUUGCAUUUUGACAAAAAAUCAUCGUAUUUCUUAUCCAUUAAGGUUGAAUAAAACUUCUAUGCCUUUCAUGAUUGUCCAUUCUGAUAUUUGGGGACCAUCACGUGUUUCCACAAUUAAGGGUUAUAAGUGGUUUAUGACAUUCAUUGAUGAUUGCACCCGGAUGACCUGGGUUUUUUCUUUAAGACAGAAAAGUGAAGUAACUGUCAAAUUUAAACUAUUUUAUCAAUAUGUUGUUACUCAAUUCAACAAGAAAAUCAUGACGCUUCGAUCUGACAAUGGACGAGAGUACGUCAACCAUGAUCUGCAUAAUUUUUUAAUUCAACAUGGUAUUGUUGAUCACACCACAUGUGCAUAUACACCACAAAAGAAUGGGGUCGCUGAGCGUAAGAAUCGACAUCUCCUGGAAGUUGUUCGUGCCUCUUUAUUUGAAGCUCAUUUACCUCAUUAUUUUUGGGGGGAGGCUCUUUGUUCUGCUGCUUACCUCAUUAAUAGAACUCCAUCCAGCACUCUUUAGUAUAAAACUCCAUUUCAAGAAUUGACCACUCGCCUCACCAUGCCGUCUACACCAAAUCUUGAACCACGUAUCUUUGGAUGUGUUGCUUAUGUUCAGGUAUAUCCACACCAACGGGGAAAGCUUGAUCCAUGUGCUCUGUGUUGUGUCUUCAUGGGUUAUGCUGAUACUCAAAAGGUCUAUAAAUGUUUUCAUCCUCCCACUCAGACCAUGUACAUUACUGUCGAUGUGACUUUUCACGAGAGUGAAUUCUAUUACUUAGGGGGCGUCUCUCAGCAUCCUCUGCAGGGGGAGAGCUCUAUCUUUGCAGAAGAUACUCAGAUCCAAAUUCAACAAAAUAUUUUAGAGCAGUCAGUGUCUGAACAACUAGUUACAAUGGUACAACAAGAUCAAGAGGGGCAACAAGAUCAAGAGUCACUCAGAACUCCAGAUACUGGUACUGGUUUAAAUAAUCUUCCCUCAACAACUCCUACUACAGUACCAUCACCACUCAUCCAAUCAGGUCCUGAAGAUUUCCCACAGGUAAUUGAACAUUCAAACUGCAACUCAAUCACUUUACCCAAGUCAAGUAAUAUAGGAAACACAAGUUAUCAACUACCUCCUCGUACAACUUGUCGCACCCCACAAAAUCCGGCGCGUCAUCGGCUGGCGAUUUUUCUCAUUUGUUGCGUUUGCUUUGAAUUCGUUCGUUGGAGUCGCCACCUAGUAAUUCAUUGAGGGCUACUAGGAAACCUGAUGUACUGGUCUUGUCAGAGAUCGCGGGUAAGGGACUGGUUAUGGUUAGGGAAGGUAUUAAUACCCCUAACGCACCCUACCUGAGGUAAGCUGCUUUGUGUUCUGAUGUGAUUUGAAAAUUUAAAAUAUUAAUUAAAUUCUAACGACUUUUUAUGAAACAAACGAGGUCUUAACAUAAAAGUAACACAUUAAAGAUGUCGCCUUUCCUAAUGAUUUUAUCUAAUAGAUUGUCGGGAUUUAGAGCACUUGUUUGUUUUUAAAAUUUUAAAAAAUUGAAUUUUUUAUUUAUUAAUUUUACUUCAAAUUAAGUUUUUUUAUAUCGUUUUGAUAUACUGUAUUAAAAAUAAAUUUUAAAAGAUAAAAAAAUUUAUUUUAAAUAAAAAUAUUUUAAAAAAUAACUAUAUAUUACCACAAUAAUAAACACCUCUUAAAAUAGAGAAUUGAGAGAAUUGUUUAGAAUGGUUGGAAUGCAUGCAUACAGCUUGGUCCCAUUUAAGAUAAAUUUUCAUGUAUUUUGAAUGUAAAAUGCCUGCUGUUGGGAGAAAAUGGUUUUAAAACGUGGUCGUUAAUAAGUGUAAUUGGAUUUUAAUCAAAUAUUAAAUUAAUAAAUUAAGAUUUUGUUGAAAAAUAUUUUUUAGUAUGAAUAUUAUAACAUGAAAUAUUAAAAUACUUAAAAUUAAUUUCAAAGAAUUCUAAAUGAAAUUGAUUUUAAAAAAAAAGAAAAAUAUAGUUUUUAUUAAUAUAUAUAGUUUUUAAUUUAAAUAUAUCAUACACCAAAAAACAGAGUUAAAAAAGUGGACAGACUAGCUAUUUCAAAAUACAGGUUGAAAUUUUGCAGAGCACAGGCUUUCAUCCGCAAACAUGGGAUUAUCCUAAAUUUAAGAAGAAUAUGUUAUAUACAAAUUAAACAUUUUAUUAAUACUCACAAUAUAUAAGGUCAAGUACUGAUCCCACAACAAAAUUAAAUCUGUUUGCAAAAUAAAAAAAUAGACAACAUUUAAUCAUUGAAAACAUGUUAUAAAUUAAAUAUUUUAUUUAGAUUAGAAAUACUAACAUUAGAAAAAAUAACAAAAAAUAGUAGAAGCGAAAAAUAAUAUAACCUUAAAAUACUGAUUUAAUAAUAAUCUUUCACUAGUUAAUUAAGCAUAAUCACAUUAAAUAAUAAUCAUCAUCAUUUUUAUUCACUACUUAAAAUACUACAUUUAAUAAUAAUCUUUCAAGUUUUUUAGUACUAAUAUAAAUAAUAUUACCCCAAAAUCCAUUUUUUUCCUUCAUUUACAUUAAUAAGAUUUUUAGUAUUAAUUAAGAGUUCUGGAUAUCAACUGCUACUGCUCUCCCCUUGUAUUUACUCGUCACCUUUCUAUUCUUCUAACACUAUUCUCCUCCUUCAUCCAUUCUCCCCCUCGUCUUCUUCCUCGUUGUACAUCAAUAGAACAACUGACGAGUUUCUCAUUUCUGUUUUCAUUAUAUUUAUAGAAUUAGUAGCUGGAAAAACCUCUUGGAAUCUACGGUCGCAGAAACACCGAGACGCCAAAAUAAAAAUAUACCGAUAACCAAUAUUGCAAAAUGUGAAUCAAAUUACCCCAAACCAAAACCAUGAGCAAAAACUGAUGAAGAUCUUCAAGCUAAAGCAAGUUAGAUUCCAAACCAAAACCAAGGCAGCUGCUGGUGCUGGUGCUGCUGCCGCUGCUCGAGCAACAGCUGCUCGAGCAACAGCUGCUGCUGCUGCUCGAGCAACAGCUGCUGCUCCUGCCACUGCUCGAGCAACAGCUGCUGCUCGUGCUGCUGCUGCCGGUGCAGCGGCUCCAGCUGCUGCCACUGCAGCCGCUGCUGCACGUGCAGCUGCCGCUGCCGCUCGUGCAGCUGCCGCUGCCGCUCGAGCAGCUGCCGCUGCCGCUCUAGCAGCUGCCGCCGCUCGAGCAGCUGCUGCCGCUGCUCCAGCAGCUGCGGCCGCCGCUCAAGCAGCUGCCGCCGCCGCUCCAGCUGCUGCCGCCGCCGCUCCAGCUGCUGCCGCCGCCGCUCCAGCAGCUCCCGCUGCCGCUCCAGCAGCUCCUUCAGCAGCUCCAGCAGCUCGAGAUGCUCCUCACGCUGCUGCUCAGACAAGUGCUCGCGCUUCUGGAGCCAUCCCUGCCACUGCUUGACCAGUUGGAGAUGCUGGAUCCGCUGCAGCUCGAGAUGCUCCUCACGCUGCUGCUCAGACAAGUGCUCGCGCUUCUGGAGCCUUCUCCGCCACUGCGUGACCAGUUGGAGAUGGGGCUGGAUCCGCUGCUGCUGCGUUGCUGGAGCUCCUUUGCCGCUGAAAGUCAUGAGAAGGAGAGGUCAGAAGUGUUAUGUGUGUGUAUAUAUAGCUUGGCACAAUGGGAAUUUUCUCAAACUUUAAUUAUUAAUGCAUAUUGUAGGAUCGAACCACAUUAAAUUGUUACUGAAUAAAAAAAAAUUAUAUCAUUCGGUUAGGUAAAAUUAUCAUAUAAAAAAAUAGAUUAGAUAAAAAAGGACUUGAAAACUAAACAUUCAUUUUCCCAUCCCCACCGCAUAGUCAAACUAUACAUGGAAUCGAUGUUACUAGAUAAUUUUAACAAAAUUCGUCGCAGGUUAAAAAAAAUCUUAACAAAAAAUUUAUAAAUAUAAUUUUUCAAUAUGUUUUUGUAUUUAAUUUUUUUGAGUGAAAAUAAAAAAAAUAUUAUGCAUAAAUAUAAUUAAAUAAAUCAAGAACUACGUGUCUUAAUAAAUAAAUAAAACAUUUAUAAAAGAUAACUAAAAAUAAAAUAUGAAAAAUCAAGAAAUAGUUGUAGAUUAAGAUAUUUAAUUUCAUAAGAUGAGAAAUUUAUGCAAUUAUAUUUACUAAAUUUAUUAAUUAAAACAAGUUUUUUAUUUAAUCAAAGGAUAAUAAAAAUAGACACAUAUUAAAUUGAUUGAAUAAAGUAAAUAAAAAAUAAUAAUAUUCAAGGCUUCACAUAUUAUAAAUAUUAUUUGAAAUUAAAAUCUUUUUAUUUUAAAAAAUAAAGUUCUUCUACACAAAAGAUUUAAAAAAAUAAUAAUAUUCAAGGCUUCACAUAUUAUAAAUAUUAUUUGAAAUUAAAAUCUUUUUAUUUUAAAAAAUAAAGUUCUUCUACACAAAAGAUUUAAAAAAAUUAUAGAUAAACCAUAAAAACCUCCUAAAACAUUAAAUGCAUAACUAAAAAAUAACCGUAAUUUUAAAAAGGAUCUCUAAACAACAUAAAAAGAUGAGAAGAGAUGUUAAUCUAAAUAUAAAUAAAAAAAUAUUUACAAAAAUAUAAAAGAAGCAUUAAUUUAAUAAAAUUAAAAAGAAGAAAAAAUAAAAGUUAAGUGUUGUUAGGUCUACUAAAUCAGACUAGCCCGAGUGGUCAAUUUUGUCUGGGCCUAUGUCUGCUGGCAAUUUUUUUUUUUGCAAAUUGUUUGUGAAAAAAAAUAAGAUGUCGCUUUUCUAUGGACCAAAUAUUUUUUUCUCUUACAAAAUAGUUGUGCAUUUUGUACACAAAAAAUUAAAAGUAUAAAUUAAAAAGUCCAUACAUACAUGUAAUCAAAUAAAUUGACAACUAUGUGAAUAAAUAAUAAUAAUAAAUAUAUUAAAAAUAACUAAAAAUAAAAUUAGAAAAUUUGAAUGUGUUAAUAAAUAAAACAUUUACCCGCUUAUAUUUUUUAAAUUUGUUUAUUAAAAUUAAUAUUUUUAUUCAAUCAAAUGAUAUUAAAAAUAAAUACACAUAUUAAAUUGAUUAAAUAAAAUAAAAAUAGAAAAACAAAUAUUAUGCAAGGUUGUUGUACAUGUUAAUGUUAUUUGAAAAUUCAUAUUUUUUAUUUUUUAAAAUUAAGUUCUUUUAUACAAAAAAAUAAAAAAAAUUAUUAAUGAAUCAUAAUAAGGUUUUCAGAAAUCAAAUACGAACAAUACUAUAAAAAUAAUAUCUAUAAAAAAAAAUCAUAAUGAAGGAUAUUAAUUGAAACAUAAAUUUAAAAAAUAUAUAAAAAAAGAUACAUAAAAAAUAUCAGUAAAAAAACAAUAUGAGAAAAAACAUUGUAUGGUUGUUGUUGCUUAAUUCGUUAAACCCAUGGCUGGAGCAUGAACUCAACUGAGUUCAAUAUGUUUUUUCCCAUAAAUUUAUAUCAACAUUUAAGCAAAAAAAUUAAACAUAAGACCUGAAAUAUGAAUUCAAUCAAAUUUAAUAAUGACUUGUCCAAGACUCCAGUACUAGUGCAUGCAUUCUAUUUUGGUUACAAGUUUUUGGAUAUAAAUUGUUAUUUGAUGGUGUUGUGCAUAUGUUUUUUUAGAAGGUUGAAUAUAUGCAAUUAUUUUGUUUGUUUAACUUUAUUAACACAUCCAAAUUGAAAAAAAAAAGUUACUGAAUAAAAAAAAACUACUUUAAAAAUAUUUUGUUUUAAAUUCAAAAUCUAUCUUAAAAGAAAAAAAAACUCUAACCACACUGUGAACUUGCACGGUAUUUUCCCACGCCAUAUAGAAAGAUCAUAGAUUUGUUGACAUUCAGUUCUUUUGAAAGCAACUUUUCGAAGUAAUUAUUACCUUUUCGAUUCAAAUGAAUAAGUAAUUAUUACCUUUUUGAUGCAGAUGAAAUCUCAACUUCACUGAGAAUAUUCGUCCAUCUUCGUACCUUCUCCUCGUUUUCCCUGAGAUUUUCUUCAUUCUUAUCAAAGACAAUUGUGUAACUCUCUGUUUGAUCAUUAAUCUUUGAUUGUUUGACAUCAUAAGAAACUGGAAACACAGUGUCCGAUCUCUUCUCAUCCACGAAUCCGACAAUCUUGACAAGUUCGUCAAAGUCCCAAGGUAAAGAAGCACAAUCUCUAGAAAAUAUAAUAAUUGACAUCCCUAAUUCUUCAAUGGCCUCAGAGAGUCUUGAUCUAAUUGCCAUCACUUUUUCUGGUUCCUUCCCACUUGGGACAAUGAAUCUCCGGGCUCGAUCUGCGACUCUGAUGUUAGGGAAAACAUUGGCCUUCCAUUGAUGGUAAGACGAAGAAAAAGCUAAAGAAUCUUUAUAUAAAGAAGCUGCUUCUUUGCUUGUGACAAUAAAAUGGGCAGAUGUUUGUGGUUUAAUAAAUAGAGAAGAUAACAAACAAACACCACAAUUGUUCACCUUCACUCCUUGCUCGUAAGAAUGAAACGACAACUCAAUAUUGCUAAAGGAUUCAUGCUGCCAUUCUUGAAGCUCUUUAAGGUAAUCGAAAGAUAGAUAGAAUAGCCAAAUAUGAUCUGAAAAGAGAUGGCCUUUACAAUUAAUACACAUCGGAGAAGGAUAAUUCUCUCUUCCAUUGGCUUUGAAAUGACAAAAAAGAGAAGGACUUUCAUCAUUUGCACUGAAUGCAACACACGCAACAAACCCCAUGCUCCAACUUGGCACUUGCACACUAAUUGAAGAUCGCUUAGUUUGAUAGUUAAACCAGCCUGGAAUUUCAUUUCCUGGAAUGGUGAUACCAAAUCCAGGUCUUGGAUUAGACAAACCCUAUACCAAGAAAAACCAAAAUGUUAGAUAGAUAGAGGGAGAGGGAGAGAGAUACAAAAAGCUUUGGGUAUGAUUAAGAGAACACCUUGAGGUAUCUUUCAAGCAUCAUCAACCCCAUUCUAUCUUGGCCAUUAUGAUUGUACAAUUCCCAGCAGUUAAGACAUAUGAGCUCUGAUCUUUUGGAACUGCUUAACUCUAUCGGAUCUGGAAUUGUUUUUAGGCUUAUACAACCAUUCAAAUUUACUGUUUGAACUUUAGAUGGAACCUCAGGCAAAGAUGCAAGCAUCAUGCAAUCCUCCAAGACAAGCAUUUCCAGUCUAGAAAGCUGAUUUAUGGCUUUAGGCAGGCUAACAAAGUUAUUCUGGCUUAGAUCUAAAGACCUUAAUGAAGAUAAGCAGCCAAUAUCUUCAGGAAGUGCCCCUUCUCUUAGAUUGCAAGCAUAAACCAGUACUUCUAUAAACACAACCAGUCAAAGAAGGCAACCUUUGAUCCGUGGGAUUCAUAGCUAUUCUUUUGCAUCCAUCAAAAGAUAAUACUUUAAGAUUCUUUAAAAGAAAAAUGGAUGCUGGCGGUUGUCUUAUUGAAGUUCCACUUACAUCAAACUCCUCCAAACUUUCAACUUUCCCCAAAUUCUCUGGUAUAUUUUCAAGUUUAGAGCAGCCAGACAUAUCAAGUUUUUUAAGGGAUUUCAAGCAACCUAUGCUACUUGGAAUGCUUUCAAGGUUCUUGCAGUUGUUCAUGCUCAAUACUUCUAAGCCAAUCAAAUGAGAAUUGAUGAAGAUAGUUCAGCAAUACCAGUCCCGUCCAAACGAAGCACCAUCAAACAGUUCAUGUUUCCCACUAUAUCUGGAAACCUUUCAAGUUUUGAGCAGCCAUCAAGAGUGAAAACUUUAAGUGAUUCCAUUUCAAGGUUGUUGGGAGAAUCCUAAUACUUUGCAAUCACAAGAUUCACAUAUUGAAGCUUCUUGUGACGUGCAAGUGAUGGAUGGACCUCAGACAAACUUGUACAACCUUCAAGAAUUAGGUUCUCGAGAUUCGGAAUUCCAGUAAAAUCUGGAGUCUUGAUCAGGUUUAGUGAGUUGCUGAGAUUGAUGAUUUUCAAAUUAACUGCACUCUGCAAUCAGGCAGGGGAGAAGAAAUAUGGAUGCUACUAUCAUAAAUAUAUAGGAAAACGAUAAAAAGAAAUACAAAGGCCUUAAAUUAGGUGAUCUCACCUUACACCCAUACCAUAAUUGCUCAAUACUACUGUUAGCCAUGUGAAGUUCAACUAGCUCAUCCACCUGUAAACCAGCUGGCAAUGAUUUUGAAGGGUAAGAAUGCCAUUCAAGAAAUCGUAGCUUAUUGGAAAGAUCUUCAGGUCCUUCAGAAAGCUGCACGUUGUUGAUUUUGAGCAAUCUUAGUUUGCUCAUUUUAGAGAAGGCUUUCAUGUUCCAUUGUGCCUCUUUUAUUCCAGGCAUGUCCAGGAAAAUGGCUUCUAUUUUUUCUUUUCCCUGUCAACCAAAAGGGGAAUACAAGUAAAAAAACAAAUACAAAGUAGAGAUGGAGCGUAAAUUAAAAUAAACUUCAUGAAAUCUUAUGGAUAAUGUUCUCUAUCAGCUACUCACUGUGUUGUCCAUCAGUGCAAGGCAGACAUCCUCGUAUGUCCACAAUCUACUGCGCCUUCCAGGCUCUUCAGGGGAUUCACAACGAACAAUUUCCUUACCCAUUAUCUGUAAUAAAUUAUGCAUCCAGACUUGAUCCCGAGAGACACUUAUAAGAGAUUUCUCAAUAAGAACUGGUAUUCCAAUACCUGCAUGGAAUCCACGGCUUUCAAGUAUCCUUGUUAUUCGAUCAAUUUUAAACCCCUUCAGGAAACAUGCAAUGUCUAAAAAUAUUUUCUUAUCUAAUUCAUGGAGACCAUCAAAACUAAUGCGAAGCACAUCAAUAAUUUUGCCGUGAGGAAUCUCAUUCAUUCUAUUAAUCGCACUUUUCCAUUGAUCGACACAUCUUCCAUUCAAAAAUGAACCUAUAACUUCAAGAGCUAGUGGAAGGCCAUUAGCAUAACCCACAACUUGCUUGGAUAGAUCCAAGAAAUCUUCAGCAGGUUGGUCUUUUUUGAAAGCUUUCUGGCUAAACAACAUGAGAGCAUCAUCAUCAUUCAAUUUUUCAGCCUCAUAAAUUUUAGUAUCAUCAUUUCCAGUUAACACAUUUGUAUCUCUGCUUGUUAUGAUAAUUCUGCUCCCUGGACCAAACCAUCCAGGCUCCUCAGCCAAGAAUUCUAGUUGUUCUUUGUCAUCUACAUCAUCAAGGAUAAGAAGAAUCUUUUUAAGUCGUAACCUCCGCUUUAUCAUCUCAAUCCCUCUAGAAGAAUCACAUAGAAGCACGUUCCAUUAAGAUUUCAGAAAGAAGUUGUUCCUGCAAACGACGUUGUCCAUCUUCCCUAGCAAAAACUUCUCUGACACUUGCUAAGAAGCAGCUGCCUUCAAAUUGCCAACGAAUCCUAUCAUAUACUACCCUUGCAACAGUCGUCUUACCUAUGCCACCCAUUCCACAAAUCCCUAUGAAGAUUGUUUUGCCUACUUCUUCACCUAUAUAGCCAUUUAAUACCUCUACACGAUAAUCUAUUCCAACUAAUUUUUUGCUAAUUGUUGGCAGAGUGAUGCUUAGUUUGUACGAUAUGUAUUCAACAAUUAUUUUAAUUGAUUCCGAUUCAUUCCUGCAUAGAGGGUGCAAAACAUUAAUCAUGCAGUGUGCAGAAAUCAAAUCAGAUAGUGAUAAUGGGAAGAUAAACAUUAGCAUAUUGUAGCUCGAAAAUGUAUGGUUGUUAGCCGAAAAUUAAUACACCAACCUUUGAGAAAGAUAGGGCCCUGAUAAUAGAUAGCUUCAAGAACAUAGAGGAAAAGGAAAGAAUAAACUGAAAAAGGAACUAUGAUUGUAUUGAUGCUAAGAAUGAUUCGUACAAUAGUUAUCUUAUUGCCUAUAGAAUCACACAGUUACUAUAGAAGCAUGCAUACAAGAACAAAAGGUAGGAAAUAAAAUAUCCAUUAAGUUUGGUUUUAACAUACCAAAAGGCAAAAGGAGUUCUAUCAUAUUUUUUGUCGACCACUAAGUUGUUUUUAUAAUUAUUUUUAACAAAAAAUUAAAUUAUUUAGCAUAAUUAACUUUUAAAAAAACAACUUUAAUUUUUUUAAUUUUUGAGUUUUUUUCUAUAUUAGCAUAGCCCAAAGAACAUUUCCCAAACUAACAUAUGCUUCUCACAACUCAAAUUUUCACAACGCAUUUCUUCGUCUUUCUUCUCUAUUUAAUCUUUUAUUUGGUCUUUCAAUUUUUAUACAAUCUUAAUAUUAAUUUCAAUAUAAUGAUCAUUUCAUUAAUAUAAACUUAUUUUUAUUUAAGUUGGGAAAAAACAUAACAAUAUUUUAGGCAAAAAUUAACUCGUUUUUAGCAAUUGCAUUUGAAAUAAAUAUUAACUUUAAUUCAUAUAUUUUUUGUGUGCAAAAGAAUAGAUGAAAUGAUCGUAAUAAUGGAACUAAAGUUAACUAAAUAUAAAAAUUGAGGGACCAACCCAACAAAGAAAGAAAGCAAGAUUUUUUUGACAUGCGAGACCUGCAUGUGUCAAGUUGUGUUAGUGAUGCCUAUGCUAGUUUGAAAAGUUUUUUCCCACCUAUAGUAUUUUGAGAAAUAAUUUUUUUCAUGGGAAAAAAUUCAUGUAGCUUUUAUGUCAUACCUUAAAAACGGAACCAUAGAAGAUACUAAUGAUAAGUUGCCACUUGUUGAAAACUUCACUUUAAUGUGUAGUUCUUUAACUAGAUUUUUGGCCUCAAGUGUUCGAUUAUUUUUUUCUAACCCUUAAAAAAUAUAAUAAUAUUUGAAAGUAAAAAAUUCAAUACAAGCUAGAAAAACACUUUUAAAAUAUUAAGAUAAUAAUAUAUUAGACGAUAUAUUUAUUUAAAAAUAUAAUUGUGACGACAACACACUAGAUCGACUUAGAGUAACUAUGAUUAACUUGUGAAACUCGCGAUCCGAAGCACAUUUUGGUGAAAACUCCAUGGAACCCAUAUCAAAAUAAAAUAAGCCCAAUUUCAAUCAGCCAAAUAUGAAAAGCUAAACAUAAAAAAAAAUUAUUCAAUUAAAAAAAGGAUUUUUUAAAAAAUAAGAGCUAGAUUUAACAAAGAAUGAGAAAUAAAAAGACUUAAGAUAACCUCGGUUAUUUUUAAAAUUAUUUAAAAAUCUUAUACAAAACAAAUAAAAAAAUUUAAUAGAGCCUAGUCUCUAAUUAAAUUAAAUAUUGAAUAAUAAAACUGAAAAACAAACAUGAGCUUCAAAAAAAGAAACCUAGACAAAUCUCCUAAACCUAGGUUAGUACUGUCCCAAAUUCUCAAUCCGUUAAAUCCUAAAUCCAGACUCAACCAAAAAGCUUAAUUCAAUGUUAAAGUAUGAAAUCAGAAAUAAUCUAUAUAUAUAUAUAUAUAUAUAUAUAUAUAUAUACCAAUUUUAAAAAAAUUUGCCAAGGUAAAAAAACAUAACAAUAAAAAAUGAAGGAUGAAAUCACCAAUAAAAUAAAAUAAAAAUAAUCUCACAUAAAAUAAAUAGUAAUCAAAAGAAUGAGAAUCAACUCUAAUAGAUUAAAAAAUUAAAAAGUAUAAAAUUAAUAGCAAAUUUCAAUUCUAAAAAAUAAUUCAAAUAAAAAAAUAUCAACUCAAAAAAAAUAGAACAAAUAUGGGAAAAACAAAACCAAAUUGAAGGGUUACUAUAAAAGUUUAGAAGGUCGGGUGCAUAAUUUGAGGAUAAAGACAAAAGAAAAGAAAGUCAUGUGGUGCCAAACCAAAAAAAAUUACUCCACACAUGCCACUCAGGGAGGCAGGUCACAUCAUGGUGAAUCAAAAAACAUCAAUGAAGGCCUUUUUUGGGUGUCAUAAGACAUUGCUCAUGCUACUUAAAUAAGACAAAACAACUUACUAGCUUGUGUGUUCUACAAACAAGCCAACCACUUUUUUUUUAUCACAAAAAAGCAUGAAUAAGCCCUUGAAGACAAGGUAAGUAUUUUUAAUUUUAAAGGAAAUGAAGUUAUUUUAUUGCACCAUGAAAAGUGAAAAAUCUUAAAAGAGCCCCUAUAGCUAAUUUAUUUAUUCUUUCUUUUAAAGAUAACUAAGUAAUUAUACCAUAAAAAAAAUGCCUAACUACCCCUAUCAAUUCUAUAAUGACUAUUGGCCCUUAUAAAAAGACCUUAUUGUUCCUAAUAAGUAGUUUAUUUUGUUUAGAAUGAAAAAUUAGUAAAUUCAUUGUUACACUCCAUUAGUAAAAGAAAGACACCUAUCAAAUUUUAAUUUCAAAUAGAAAAAUAAAAAUAUUCACAAAAAAAUUAAAAAUAAAUUUAUCUCUUUGAUUUAUAAAUAGUUUGAAUUUUUUAAUUCAAGAUGGAAAAUCUUUUUAUUUUAUUUUGAAAAGCUAAAACCAACAUAUUCAAAAAUUUUGGUCAAUUUUUUAUUUCUUAUGAUGAAUUUGUUGUCAUUUCUUCACAAUUUUUACUUUUUUAAGCUAACUUUUUAUUUGUUCAUGCUAGAUUUGUUUUUCAACAUUUUUAUACAUUUUAAUUUUUUUGCUUAAUAUUUAUUUUAUUUUCAAAAUAUAAAGAAAAACCUAAGAAUAGAAAGAAGUUAUAUAUAGAGAUUAGAAAUGCUUGAUCACAUCAGUUCAAAAUAUCAUUAAAAAAAAAAACAUGCAUAUGAAAAAAAUACACAUUUACUAUCAUGCUUGUUCAUCAAUGAAACAAUACAGGGCAGAUUUGAGAAUAAGAAUAAGUAGAUAGACGAUUUACCUAUUCCGGACGUCCCAGCCAGAUAGAUUGGCCACCGUAGAGAGACAAUCUUUCCAUUUCCGGACCUUCUCCAAGUUUUCCUUGAAAUUUUGUUCAUGCUCACCGAAGGCUUCCUCGUAUUUCCGUUUCCGCUCGGUUACCUCUGAGGGAUCCACAUCAUAAAAAACUGGCAGAACAGUUUGCCCCAUCUCUUUCAUGCACUGAACAAUCUUGACAAGUUCAUCCAAGCACCAUGGUGACGAUGCGUAAUCUCUUGAAAAUAUAAUGACAGAAAACCUUGAUUCUUCGAUGGCCUUCCAGAGAGCAGGUUCGAUGGUCUUUCCUCUCUCGAGCUCCCUAUCAUCCAUGUAUACAUCGAUGCCUCUCUGUUUCAGAUUAGAAUAUAGAUGACUAAUAAAGUUGUCCCGGGUGUCUUUGCCUCUAAAACUAAGGAACACAUCAUAAAUAUAUAGUGGAGGAGGAGGAGAUGAAGAUGAGGUUAUUCCUUUGACGCUGGUGGAAGCCAUGAAAAUUCCUAUAGCGAUAAACUAGUAAGGCCUGCUCCUGUGGUCAAACAUGAAACAGAAGGUGAGAUCAAGAAAUUUGGCAAUUAAAUCUACCAAAUAGCAAUUUCAAGCUGGAACAUGUAUAAUUCUACUUAGAAAUCAGAAAACACCAAAUUUCUACGAGUAUUUCACGAAUCUAGACCAAACAAACCGUGUGGUAAGUGUUGGCUAAAGAGGCACAAGAUCCAGCCAAGCCCAAUAUUUUUUCUUCUUCUGGUAUCUUAGUAACCAACUUCCAAAGCCCUUUUCUUUCUUUUUAUUUCAAUGACUUCGAAUUUAUUUCCGGUUUCUUGAGGUCAAGAACUCGUACCGGUAAGUUUCCAAUGAUUUUCUUACGGAUCUUUUUCUUACACUGUAAAAAACAGAAAGAGAAAUGAAAGGGAUAUCGAACGCGCAUUGGGCAGCAGAGUGGACCCAUCACAAUUGAGUGAUUCAUAUUUUUUAAUGAAUUAUCAAGUCCAUAUUAUUUAACAUAAAUAUUUUUGCAUUCCAAGAACUUUCCAGAUGUGGGCAGCAAAGGCACCUUCCUGUCAAGAGCAGGGGUUGAGACACACACAUCACAGUUGAAAAGUAUUUUUUAAUGAAUUUUCAAACUAAUAACUACAAAACUCUUACAUUAAAUAUUAUAAAUUCCCAUUGAUUUUUUUUUAAAAUAAACUUAGCCACCACCCGAUGAACUGGAACUAAUUAACGAAAAAACAAAUCAUAUUAAAUUGAGUUUAGAAUCUCCACUUUUUUUUUUCCCUAAACUUUUUUAAAAAAGUUUUAUCGGCUUUUAAUCUCACAAUUCAAUCCAAAUUUAUGAUGUGUUAUUUUUUUCAAUUUAAUCCUUAUUAUUUUUUUAUUUUUGUUUUUGUUCAAGUUAUUUUUCUUUUCAGUUAACUCUUCAAUUGAAAAAAUUUAGUUAUACUCUAAUUUAUUUUUUAUUUUAUUUUUGAUUCUUGUUUUUUUAAUUAUUAUUUUUUUAAUUUUUAAAAUACUAGUGCUCGUAUAACAAAACUGAAUCCAACCUCUUGGAUAAUGUAGCCACCAUAGCUUGAACGUCCAAUAAUGAAAAUUCUUAACGCCGCUAUCCAUUAAUGAAUCCCAGCCACUCAUCUCCCGACACUUUCUACCCAUAAUUAAGAUAGCAUAGACGAAGACUCCAAGAGAUAAUCCAAUAUUUCUUCUACCGUACGUUCCUCAACUUUAAUGUCCGAGGCUGAACGUGUCCACAAAAACUCACAAGGAGGAAGAGAACCAACCAUCAGCGGCGUCACCCUCUUCGCGACCUUUAUUUCCGUUGGCUCUAGAAUAAUUUUUUGAUUUUUGUCUUUCUGCACAACCUUUUUUUUACUGCAAGAUUACAUAAAAAAUAUACAUUCAUGGCAUAAUUAUAUAACCAUUAAUUAUUUUUUUAAUUAAUUUUUUUUAUGACUCUCAUAACUUUUUUUCUUCAAAAAAUAAACAUUCGGAUAAAUAAAUAAAUAAAUUUAAAAAAAUCACAAUAAUAGGAUAAAGAGGAUUUAAUUGAGAAUAUGUUUUUUUAUGGUUAUUUCAAAUCUUUGGGGUCUAUUGGAUAUUUAGUAUGCUUUUAAUAUUGUGGUACAAAGUUCUUUUUAAAACUGAUUUUUUUUUUAAUGUAUAAAAAUAUAUUUUUAGAUUUUUUAUACAAGCACAUCAAAAAAUACUAAAAAAACAUUAAUUUGAUAUUUUAAUAAAACAAACAUAUUUUUAAAACAUAUUCAAACAUAAAGUAGAAACACAAUAUCAAACACAAACAUAUUUUUGGUUGACAAUUAAAAAGAAAAAGGAUACUAGGAAAUUAUUUUAUGUUGAUAGAACUUAAAUUGUUAAUUUUUUUGGCUACAAGAAAUCAUAUAUUUUGAACCGUAUAUAUCACCUAGUUUCUAGAUUUAUUGUUUGAUUUGCAUUUUAACAUUUUUUUAUUGUAUAUAAUUCUGAUUGCUUUGAUUAAAAACAUGCAUCAAUUCUUUUUAUUCAUAAAAAAAAAAAUUUCUUCAACUUAAAAAAAGUUGACAGUGCUCACACUUUUUCUUUUUCUUUUUCCAUUGAAAAGUAACUUUUAAUCCGAUCCGCAACAAGAACUAGACAAGGACACGUUAUUUAUUGGAAGAACACGUGGUGCUAUGUUUUCUCGAGAAUGCUUCGAUAGUCAGAAAAUCAAGGGCCACCACCCAUGUGCAUCCUAACACCUUUUUUCUUCAGUAAAAACAAAUCCUCAAACUCGUCCUAAUAUCUUCUGGAGACCUACUUCUAACUUCAAAAUCUAUUACAAUCCAAUUUAAUCGGUCUGAAAUUGAAAUCAAUGUUCUGAAAAAAAAUAUAUGAUCUAGGCUUCGAUCUAUCUAUAGUAAAACAUCAUGGUCUUUUAUUUCUUUAUUAAUUCUAAUAAUAAUAAUAAUGUUUUUAUUAUUAAUUUUUAAUAUACUAGCUAGUGCUUGUAUAACAAAACUGAAUCCAACCUCUUGGAUAAUGUAGCUAGCCACCAUAGCUUGAACACUAAGUUCAAACCCAAUAUUUGUUUAUUCUUCUGAUAUUAACUGAAUCUAAUUAACGAAAAACAAAAAGAAAUUCAUAUUAAAUUGAGUUUAGAAUCUCAAAUUUUAAUAUUUUUUUAACAAACAGUCCAACUUAGAUUUUCUCCGAUAAAAAAAAACACCAGUUCUUCUCGCAUUGCUAGCAUACCAUCUUAAACCUAUGAUUAAGGGAGAUUAAAAAUGUGGUAGUACUUAAUUUUUUUAAAUAAUUUAUUUAAAAAUAUAUUAAAAUAUUUUUUAUUAUUUUUUAAAAAUUAUUUUUAGUAUAUACGUAUCAAAACAAUUCAACAACAUAAAAAAAAAAAUUCAAACGGGUCAUGAACUGCUUUCCCAGCCAAAUUUUUUGGAUAUUGAUUAUAAUCUUUUGCUUUUAAAUAUUAUGCUGUGUGAAAAUAAAUCUCUUUAAGCACACUGCUACACAAAUCAUUCGGUUUAGAGCAUCUUCAAAGAAAAAUGCUAUAUUAGAAGAGCAAAAUAGAUAAAAUAUCUUUUUAAAUAGUGUAAAUAUAGUUUUUUUGAUUAUAUGUAUUCCAAUGAUAAAAAACUAUUUAGAAAAGCCAAUUAUAUUUUAAUAUAUUUCAUGUUAAAUUAAUUUUAAUAUAAUUAUAUAACUAAUUUAGAUAUUUUAUAUAUAAUAUAAUUAUGAUGUUAUUAAUUAUAUAAUUAAUAUGAGUAAUUUAUAAAAGUAAUAUAAAAUUAACGAGUAGAAUCAUUAGAUUUGAACUUCUUAUGUCAUUAUAAGUUUCAAGUUUUUUAUGUUUUUUUUUUUCAUUAUGGUUGUUAUCUUUUAAGUUAAUUAAUCCUACUUAUUGUUGUUAAGUGUUAGAAGAACCUCAAAAAAAUAUUAUGAAUUGAUAUCACUUUUAUAACAAUAUAUUUAAAAUAACCAAGAAAUUUUAACAUAUAUAAUUAAAAAUACAUUACAUUAAACAAUAAAUCAAUCUAGCUAAUUAAAAAUUAAAACUCCUCUUUUGCAUAAUUUCUAACUUUUUAUUUUGAAAAUAUGCUGCAGAAAUUGGAUCCAAAUUAGAAAUAUCCAUUUUCAUAAUUUGUUCUUCUUUCUCAAUCCUGUCCAAUUCUUGUUUCUCUUGACUUUGUUGAAUCAUUAUAGCUUGUUGCUCUAACAUAAUUUUUCUGUCUUGUUUCUUUUGAUCCUCAAUUUCAACUAGAGUAUUCUUGAAUUGUUGUAAGAGAUUUGUUACAGUUACCUCCCCAACUUUAUCUUUUCCUUGUUUACGUUUAAGUCGUUCCUUUGCAGCCUUCUGACCAAUUAGUCUAUCUUAAUAAAUCAACGGUUCACUGUCUUCUCCUAAACUAACAGAAUCAGGAGUAGAUGAAGCUGAUGAAGCCGGAUUUGCAUUGACAUGACUUUUUUGUUUCUUGUUUGACCUUUGAUGUUGACUUGCAUACUCAAAUUGCCAUUUGAGUUUUUUUCUUAAGAUAACCCAACAAUGUUCUAGUUGAAAUUGUUUGCCAAUGCAAGAAGCAUACAUUUGUCGAGCAUCAUUAAUCUGGUAAAAAAUUAGAGAAAUUAAAUAAUGUUAAAAUAUAUGUUAAACAAUUUAAUAUUAAAAUGAAUAUUAAAAAUUACCCUUGAUUCUUUGGUCAUUCCACUUUGCUAACGAUUUUCAAUUUAAGUAACAAAUCCAACAAAUUUACCGUCUUCCCUAUUUAUUUCUUGCCAUCUACUUGAGAUGCUUAUUUGGGAAUGAUUAUUCAAGUUUCCUCCAUUCUCUACAACGUAAGCAUGUACUCGAGCCCAUAACUGUUUUGUUUGUUGUUCAACUCCUGUAAUUGGAUCCUUGCUUGUAUUUAGCCAUGCAGAGACAAGUAAACAAUCUUUCUAUGGUGAUAAGUUUUUACUUCUUUGUGAUUUUUUUGCCGAAUGUACAUUUAAAUUCGAGUAUGUUAAGUCAUCAAUUAAUUGAUUAGAAUCACUUGGUUGAGAGAGAAUAUCUUCUGACUCACUCAUAAGAAAGUUGGUAAAAGAGCUUGGAAAAUUUGAAUCCAUCUACAUUAAAAAAAAAAAAAAAAAAAACUCAAGUUAAAACAGACAAUAAAAAAUAAAUUUUAAAUAUGUCACUCUAUAUUUUUAUCAAUAUCAACUACCAUUAUUAUUCUCUCAAUUUUGUUAAAGAUAACAACAUAAAUAAAAAUUGUCUUCAUUAACCCAUAUAAAAAACAUAAAAUAACAAAGAAAUAAAAAUCAACACAAAUAUCAAAUUAACAACAAAAAAUCUAAAAAAUCAACACAAAUAUCAAAUUAACAGCUUGAUAAGACCUGAAAAAAGCAAAGGGAUAAUUUGAUAUUUAGGAUAAUCUAAUUAAAGGAUGUUUACUUUCAAAAAUAAAAAUGAGAUGAAACAAUUACUAUAGAAUAAUAAAUAAUGACAGGAAUAUAAAAAUAAUGACUAGUCCCUGACUUGAUGUAGUUCAAUCGGUUUUAGAAUUUUAAAAUUGAUAUUGAAUCGAACCAAAUUUUUGUAUCAGAAGCUAAGCUGGUAAAAUCUACACAUGUGAUAGCAUGUGAAGGUAUACAAAAUUAUCAAUAUGAGAUUUUGUUCAAAGAACAUCACAUGUUAGUACCAAAAGAUGAUUUAGCUCAAACAAUAAAAUAUGCAUCAAUAACCAUGCAAUGCAUCUAAUAUGUACAGACCUCAAAAACUGGUUGUAGCUGCUUCCUAGGUGCCCUCUUAACUGCUUCACGUUGCUGUUUAGCACCAUGUAUCCGCAUGACAUAGGAUGGUAAGAACAUGUCAUAACUCCAAAGGGCAUUGAGGUUAUGCUCGACACGAGUAAGACAGAGGUAAAUAUCACAAGCUAUGACACAAUUAUCUAAGAAGAGCUUAGAACACACCAAAAAGCUAUAUAAAUGUCAGGUCCUGAUUUGUUACUAGAAGCAAUAGUGGUGUUAAGAGUUGCAACAACUACAUGGGAACCAGAAUCCAACCACAAACUCAUUAAAUUCCAGAUUAAAGUAGAGCAUGUAUGAAGAAUUUGUAUCUUCCAAAUUUGUAUACGAGGAUCUAAAAUUAAUUUUAGUGGGGACUAUGCUAAUGUGCCUCCUGCAACUUGCAUGAUGAUUGAGUGAAAGAGCCAAGACCAACUAUAAACUUGCUAGUAAACAAAGUGCUCUUUCCCCAACGCCAAUUCAUGAAAUGGUUUUCGUCUGAUGCUCAAUCUGAUCAAAUUAAGAUAUUCAGAGUGCAAUCACUGGUUUAUAUCUUUUGUUUUUGUAGAUAGAAAGUGUGUCCAGGAAUCUCAGUCCUAAUGGGCAAUUUACAACCAAAGCGCUAGGGAGCUUAUCAGAUUUAAAGGCAAUAGGUUGAAUGGUAGAAGCUGCCAUAGAGGCCUCUUCAUAUUCCAAAGCAUGUGUAGUUUUUCCAAUGAGGAUUGUGAUCACCAAUUCAUGAAAAAAUUAACCAAAGUCCAUGAAAAACAUAUCCUAACUAACUUGCCAAACAAUAAGGUUCAAAAAUCUCAGUUUGACUGCAGAGAUCCGUCUGCGCCAUUUCUCCCAUGUAAUCAUCUGUUGUCUCCUUGCACUUCUGGCAUAUUUGAAAGUUAAAAUAAAUACUAGCCUUAUAUGAAUCAUCACCUAAAGAAACUAAACUACUUCAAUCAAGUUCUCUAUGUACUAUCCUAAUCCUUAAUUAACUACGUGUCUGACUUCACAUGAAAACACCAACAUUGGCAUAUAAGGAAUCACCAUGUGCCUAGCCUGUUUGGAGAAACAAUAUUUUUAUUUCUUGUGCAAGAAAAAAGAAUGAAAGACAAACAUCUGCAACUUAAGAG
rnacentral:lncRNA from 1 species